rnacentral:lncRNA from 1 species
AGCUGUCCCCGGGCUGCCUGGGAGUCACUGGGGAGUCCUAGCCCGCCCUUGGGCCUAGGGCUCCCUGAUGCGGCCUCCACUCUUCGCAGGGCCAGGGGGCGAGGAAGGAGGAGGGAGGGAAGAGGGAAGCUGGGGAGUGGGAGAGCGUCCUCCACGACCGCUUGGGUCCUCCGCGGGGCAGCCUCGGGGAGGGUGGCUGCAGGGCCCGGAGUCGCCUGGAUCGCAGCGCCAUCUCGUGGCUGCUGGCAGGUCUGCCUUGGGCCCUCUUGGCACAAGGCAAGGAAACAGGAGCUCUUCCCAUCAGUGACAGGUGCCCGCCGGCCCGCACCCAGGAGAAUGCUCCAGUGUCACCAGUGACUCCUGCUCCCACAUCUGCCUACAGGAAGCCCUCUUGGAACAAAAGCAUCUCACUUCUGGGAGGCAUCAAGUCAAGGGAGAAGCAGUGAUGUUUUAGUAUCCAGAAAGUGGAAAUAACCCAAAUGCCCAUCAACAGCAGAAUGAAAUUGUACUAUAUUCACACCAUGGAAUAUUGUAUAGCAAAGAGAAUGAAUGAACUAUUAACAGAAAAGACAUGGACAAAUCUCAUAAACAUGAUGCUGAAAGAAACCACAGUCAAAAAAGAAGAUGCUUCCCAACCUUUUGCAGACCAUGGCAUACGCAGAAAAUGACAACAUCGGAAUGGCACACUGGCAUACCAGUUGGGGAUCCUUGCAGUCAAUGCUGACUGGACUCAUCCUUCAGCCGCCCCCAAGAAGAGAGAGAUCAAUACCUUGGCACAUCUGUGGGAAAGCUCCCAUUAGAGAGUGUGGGGAAGACACAGGCCUCCACAACACAUUUCAGGUUCUCUAAACUGGCAAAGGGGAAGAGUCUGGGCUUCCUUUGCCCUUUUGUUCUCAAAGAGCCCAGCUGUGCACACCCCUCACCCCUGCACUAUAGCUCCCAUUUGGGUAGUGAAAAAUCACAGGACUCAGGGGAGUUAUGCAGCAUUCGGGAAUGGAGACCUGGAAAGCCACACACUCCUCCUUGCUUUCCUGUGAGCCUCUCUUCUUGCUGUCCCCUUUACAACCAACAGUCCCUGCAGGGGGAAGACACUCUGCUUUAGUCAGUUCCACCUCCCUUCCAGAUCUCAUCCUCCUUUCAGCCUAAUUUUCCUCACACUGUCAUGCUCCUUCCCACUGCUCGCCCCCCACCCCCUACUCUCCUCCAGCACAUCACACAUUGCGCCUGGGCACACUGAGCUUGUCUGCCAUCUAUGAAGAGGCCCAUGUCACCCAAGCCCUUCUCUUUCCCUGUCAUGCCAUAGCCUCUUCCAGGAGCGCUCAGCCUGCUGUUUCUGCUCAGACCUCCCCUCCUCUGCAAAGCCUCCUUCUGCGUGCUGCCCGAGAGCCAUCCCCCACUUGGGUUUGUGUUACUGCUGUGUAUGGCAGCAUCUUCACUGUGCCUGAUUUCCCGUCUUGGCCCAUCGUAGGUGCUCAACAAUUGUUUCUCAAAUGACCAGCGCCUGCAGAGGGACCCUGACAUGAACUCCACCCCACCCCGACUCUUGGCAGUUACUCACUGUCCCCUUGAGUCGGGAUCCCAGCCCCUCAGGGGACCUGUCUUGCAGCCAUUCCACGCUCUGUCACCCCACUGCCAGGAGACUAGAGCCACACUGCCUGGAUGACGCUCAUCUUUACCAGCUCGCAGCUCUGCCAGCUGCCUGCUCAGGGGUGGCCGCCAGCUGAGGGAUUGAGCUGAUUAUAGGUGAAUCAGCACCAGGCUGAUUGUGGUGUGAAAAAGGGGAAGGGUGACUGUGUCUUAGCCUCAAUCCUGGCUCCCCUCCUUCCAGCCCUGACCUGCAGUAACAGCACAGGGCCACCAGAGGCUCUAUUGGGCGACUCAUGCCCCGCGGAGAAAGGCCCAGUAGGAGAGCAUCUGACCCAGUUCCCAGCAGAUGAGAAAGGAAGAAGAGUUCAGGAGGCUUCUACUCUCAGAGGUCUCCAGCACUGAAACCCCGCAGCCGCACCUGGCUGCCUUAUCCUUGUGUUUUGCCCCUCAUGGGUCUAGAAGCUGUUGUGUUACACCUUAACAUCUUCCUCCUUGCUUGCCAUGAGCCCCUCUGCUUGCAGCCCCCUUUACAGAACAACAGUCAUGGUAGAGGGAAGAUGUCUCCACUUUUGUCAGUUCUGCCUCCUUUAGGAGAGUGUCAGGCCUAACCCAUGUGUGCUCUGUCUUUCAGGGCAUGGAAAAGACUAUUGUCCUGUUUCGUCUUUUCAACACCUCUUGACUCUCUCCCCCUGGUUUCCUAACAGCCAGCUAGGUUCAGGGCCUCCCAUCUCUGGCCAGGAUUAGUGCAAUGGCUUUCUGAAGGGUCCCAGGCUCCAGGGAGCCCCUUGCCCAUCAAGUCUCUACCCUGGAGCCAGACAGCCCUUACUUCCAUCAGACAUCAGCCUCCAGUGGCUCCGAAAGGCCAGGCAUCCACACAGCACCCCACGGCCCCAAGAACUGGCUGCUUGAUUUUCCUGCCCUGUGUCCCUCCUCUCCUUGGCCCUCUACCCAGCAAUCACCCCAAAACACUGUGAUGUUUCAAGCCUUUGUACUUUGCACACAUUCUUCUCCAUGGCCUAAUUCCCUCUCUCCACCCCUCACUCCACACCUCCUCCACCUUUACCCUUUCUCCCCAUUCUUUCUUCACCGGGCACAGCCCUACUUAUCCUUCAAAACUGCCACUUCCUCUGCGAAGCCUUUCCUGACCCGUGUCCCAGAAUCCCUCCUCUGAACAAAUCCUGUUCCCUAAACAUGCAUCUCUCAUUGUAUCUGUCACUCAAGGGUUGCAAUAAUUACACACACGCCUGUCCUUUGUCCUCCACUGGCUCUGUACCUCCAUGUGGGACCCAUGGCCAGCACACAUUGGUGGUGCCCGAAAGCUGUUGCACUGGAGUUGUUCCUUCUGCCCCAUCACCUCCCACCUUGAACAAGUCCUUUAGAUGACCUGAACUCCAGUUUGUUGAUCUGCAAAAUGGAGAGAUGUGAGAAUCAGAAGAGAACACGUAAUGAAAGGGUGUUAUAAACUGCUAAGGGCUGUACAAAUGUUUGUAUUGCAUUUUUGUCUUCCAGACUAGUGUUUACCUACACUUGCCUGUGUGGAAAUCAGAAGAUUAAAGGAAUGCGAUGUGA